rnacentral:rRNA from 1 species
AUGAACGCUGGCGGCGUGCCUAAUACAUGCAAGUCGCGCGAACAGACGAGGAGCUUGCUCCUCUGACGUUAGCGGCGGACGGGUGUGUAACACGUGGAUAACCUACCUAUAAGACUGGGAUAACUUCGGGAAACCGGAGCUAAUACCGGAUAAUAUAUUGAACCGCAUGGUUCAAUAGUGAAAGACGGUUUUGCUGUCACUUAUAGAUGGAUCCGCGCCGCAUUAGCUAGUUGGUAGGUAACGGCUUACCAAGGCAACGAUGCGUAGCCGACCUGAGAGGGUGAUCGGCCACACUGGAACUGAGACACGGUCCAGACUCCUACGGGAGGCAGCAGUAGGGAAUCUUCCGCAAUGGGCGAAAGCCUGACGGAGCAACGCCGCGUGAGUGAUGAAGGUCUUCGGAUCGUAAAACUCUGUUAUUAGGGAAGAACAAAUGUGUAAGUAACUAUGCACGUCUUGACGGUACCUAAUCAGAAAGCCACGGCUAACUACGUG